GAUGAACGCUGGCGGCGUGCCUAAUACAUGCAAGUCGAGCGAACGGACGAGAAGCUUGCUUCUCUGAUGUUAGCGGCGGACGGGUGAGUAACACGUGGAUAACCUACCUAUAAGACUGGGAUAACUUCGGGAAACCGUAGCUAAUACCGGAUAAUAUUUUGAACCGCAUGGUUCAAAAGUGAAAGACGUUCUUGCUGUCACUUAUAGAUGGAUCCGCGCUGCAUUAGCUAGUUGGUAAGGUAACGGCUUACCAAGGCAACGAUGCAUAGCCGACCUGAGAGGGUGGACGGCCACACUGGAACUGAGACACGGUCCAGACUCCUACGGGAGGCAGCAGUAGGGAAUCUUACGCAAUGGGCGAAAGCCUGACGGAGCAACGCCGCGUGAGUGAUGAAGGUCUUCGGAUCGUAAAACGCUGUUAUUAGGGAAGAACAUAUGUGUAAGUAACUGUGCACAUCUUGACGGUACCUAAUCAGAAAGCCACGGCUAACUACGUG
rnacentral:rRNA from 1 species